UGGGGAAUAUUGGUCAAUGGGCGCAAGCCUGAACCAGCCACGCCGCGUGAGUGAUGAAGGCCUUCGGGUUGUAAAGCUCUGUGGGGAGGGAAGAAAACGGCCAGUAAGAAACGACUGGUCCUUGACGGUACCUCCUUAGCAAGCACCGGCUAACUCUGUGCCAGCAGCCGCGGUAAUACAGAGGGUGCGAACGUUGCUCGGAAUUACUGGGCGUAAAGCGCGUGUAGGCGGGACCGUAAGUCAGAUGUGAAAUCCCCGAGCUCAACUCGGGAACUGCAUCUGAAACUGCGGACCUUGAGUACUGGAGAGGGCGGCGGAAUUCCUGGUGUAGAGGUGAAAUUCGUAGAUAUCAGGAGGAACACCGGUGGCGAAGGCGGCCGCCUGGACAGUCACUGACGCU
rnacentral:rRNA from 1 species